rnacentral:rRNA from 1 species
UACGGGGGGGGCAAGCGUUGUUCGGAAUUACUGGGCGUAAAGGGCGCGUAGGCGGCGCGGUAAGUCGGGUGUGAAAUCUCGGAGCUUAACUCCGAAACUGCAUUCGAUACUGCCGUGCUUGAGGACUGGAGAGGAGACUGGAAUUUACGGUGUAGCGGUGAAAUGCGUAGAUAUCGUAAGGAAGACCAGUGGCGAAGGCGAAUCUCUGGACAGUUACUGACACUGAGGCACGAAGGCCAGGGGAGCAAACGGG